rnacentral:rRNA from 1 species
AUUGAACGCUGGCGGCAGGCCUAACACAUGCAAGUCGAGCGGAUGAAGGGAGCUUGCUCCUGGAUUCAGCAGCGGACGGGUGAGUAAUGCCCAGGAAUCUGCCUGGUAGUGGGGGAUAACGUCCGGAAACGGGCGCUAAUACCGCAUACGUCCUGAGGGAGAAAGUGGGGGAUCUUCGGACCUCACGCUAUCAGAUGAGCCUAGGUCGGAUUAGCUAGUUGGUGGGGUAAAGGCCUACUAAGGCGACGAUCCGUAACUGGUCUGAGAGGAUGAUCACUCACACUGGAACUGAGACACGGUCCAGACUCCUACGGGAGGCAGCAGUGGGGAAUAUUAGACAGUGGGCGAAAGCCUGAUCCAGCCAUGCCGCGUGUGUGAAGAAGGUCUUCGGAGUGUAAAGCACUUUAAGUUGGGGGGAAGGGCAGUAAGUUAAUACCUUGCUGUUUUGACGUUACCAGCAGAAUAAGCACCGGCUAACUUCGUG